AAUAUACUAAUUUUCUUAGCAAUUGCAAGAUAAGCCAAGGUCAUCUAGUUGCUAUUUUCUGAAUGAAGGAGUUGCCCGUCUGGUAAUGAGGAAAGCCAGCAUGCCUCAAAGAAGAAGAAGAAACUUAUAUUGAUGAACAAAAAAACUCGACCAUUUCAUCUAUAAAUGCAAAUAAGGAAAAUCAGAAUGGAAGGGAAAAGCUGAUGCCAUAAAAUAAAGACAAGGAUUUCAACAUCCUAUCAUGCCAUCAGGUCAUAUUAAAGUAGCAGGGGUAACUCAAGAAAAGACGCAAUAGAAAAAAGGCAAAAUAAGACUGCAUGCUAUUUACCCCAAAUGAGUUGAAAACUAAAAAAAAAAAAAGAUCUAGCAGUUCCAAAGGGAGAGACUAAUAGAGCAAUUGGGUCCUCUAGAUCAGUGGUUCUUAACCUGGGCAAUAUCUCUGCCCAGGGAGUGAUUUCAUUUUUCAGGGGGGGUGAUGGAAUGAAAAGGGGCAAAGAAGGGUGAUGGAGGGCGAUGAUGGAGCGAGAAGUUUUGGGGACACUUUUGAGACUUUUUUUCAUACAGUGAACCGCUGUAUAUCUGUCGUACAAAAACAUCAGAUCGCUCACUAUUAGUGGAUUGAACUGUGUUUUAAAAUGGUCCUCCAGCUAGCUUUAGUACAGAACGCUGUACAUAUGUGAAUAUGCAUCGCUCAUCUUCAUGCGCGUUACACAGCAGCCUCUAUCACUCUACCCAUACAGUGGCGCGCCAUUGGCCAGAAUGGGCAGUGAUGGAGGGGUGAGUGUUUCUUUCAAAACAUCGCAUGCUGAAUGGCUGUCCAUUGUGAUGUCAGCUGUAAUGUCAAAGUAACUGUUGAAACUAGGUAUGUUUUUUAUAGUGUUCCAGUGCAGUCAAAAAUUUAAUUUGCAGUUAGUGCCUUUCAUUUUGAAGACCUUUUUUUUCGGGCAUUUCAUUUUCUUGCAAUUGAAUUUUGUUUUCAGUGGUCAUUGCAUUAAGUGUCU